UACGUAGGGGGCAAGCGUUGUCCGGAAUUAUUGGGCGUAAAGGGCUCGUAGGCGGUUUGUCGCGUCGGGAGUGAAAACCUCGGGCUUAACUCGGGGCUUGCUUUCGAUACGGGCAGACUGGAGGUAUGCAGGGGAGAACGGAAUUCCUGGUGUAGCGGUGAAAUGCGCAGAUAUCAGGAGGAACACCGGUGGCGAAGGCGGUUCUCUGGGCAUGUCCUGACGCUGAGGAGCGAAAGUGUGGGGAGCGAACAGG
rnacentral:rRNA from 1 species